rnacentral:lncRNA from 1 species
CGUAGCCGAAGCUACCACUGAUACGUAGCCGAAGCUACCACUGAUACGUAGCCGAAGCUACCACUGAUCAAUAACACUGGAAAUGUCCACGGGCCUGCUCACACAAGCUGUCAGGUGUCUGCAACACAUGCUAGAUCACCCAGCACCCGGGACUCACUGUAACACUGUAACACUGAUCUCUAGUGACAUGUCACUUGUAUCCACUUCUAUUCCUAAGUUCAACCGGGAAUUUACACUUA